rnacentral:rRNA from 1 species
CAAUCUGAAGACGUGAUGUGGGGCGUAAAGCCGGAAGUAUGUGAGCUGGCUGCCAAGAAAAGCCGCUAUUGUUUAUGAUAUACCCGUACCGUAAACCGACACAGGUGGAUGAGGAGAGAAUCCUAAGGCCGACGGGAGAAGCAUUGUUAAGGAACUCGGCAAAAUGACUCCGUAACUUCGGGAGAAGGAGUGCCAUGUAAAAGUGGCCGCAGAGAAUUGGCCCAAGCAACUGUUUAGCAAAAACACAGGUCUAUGCAAAACCGAAAGGUGAGGUAUAUGGGCUGACGCCUGCCCGGUGCUGGAAGGUUAAGGGGAGAGGUUAGCCGUAAGGCGAAGCUUUGAACUUAAGCCCCAGUAAACGGCGGCCGUAACUAUAACGGUCCUAAGG